rnacentral:rRNA from 1 species
UUAAGUUAUUAAGGGCGCACGGUGGAUGCCUUGGCACUAGAAGCCGAUGAAGGACGUUACUAACGACGAUAUGCUUUGGGGAGCUGUAAGUAAGCUUUGAUCCAGAGAUUUCCGAAUGGGGAAACCCAGCAUGAGUUAUGUCAUGUUAUCGAUAUGUGAAUACAUAGCAUAUCAGAAGGCACACCCGGAGAACUGAAACAUCUUAGUACCCGGAGGAAGAGAAAGAAAAUUCGAUUCCCUUAGUAGCGGCGAGCGAAAUGGGAAGAGCCCAAACCAACAAGCUUGCUUGUUGGGGUUGUAGGACACUCUAUACGGAGUUACAAAGGACGACAUUAGACGAAUCAUCUGGAAAGAUGAAUCAAAGAAGGUAAUAAUCCUGUAGUCGAAAAUGUUGUCUCUCUUGAGUGGAUCCUGAGUACGACGGAGCACGUGAAAUUCCGUCGGAAUCUGGGAGGACCAUCUCCUAAGGCUAAAUACUCUCUAGUGACCGAUAGUGAACCAGUACCGUGAGGGAAAGGUGAAAAGCACCCCGGAAGGGGAGUGAAAUAGAACCUGAAACCGUGUGCUUACAAGUAGUCAGAGCCCGUUAAUGGGUGAUGGCGUGCCUUUUGUAGAAUGAACCGGCGAGUUACGAUUUGAUGCAAGGUUAAGCAGUAAAUGUGGAGCCGUAGCGAAAGCGAGUCUGAAUAGGGCGUUUAGUAUUUGGUCGUAGACCCGAAACCAGGUGAUCUACCCUUGGUCAGGUUGAAGUUCAGGUAACACUGAAUGGAGGACCGAACCGACUUACGUUGAAAAGUGAGCGGAUGAACUGAGGGUAGCGGAGAAAUUCCAAUCGAACCUGGAGAUAGCUGGUUCUCUCCGAAAUAGCUUUAGGGCUAGCCUCAAGUGAUGAUUAUUGGAGGUAGAGCACUGUUUGGACGAGGGGCCCCUCUCGGGUUACCGAAUUCAGACAAACUCCGAAUGCCAAUUAAUUUAACUUGGGAGUCAGAACAUGGGUGAUAAGGUCCGUGUUCGAAAGGGAAACAGCCCAGACCACCAGCUAAGGUCCCAAAAUAUAUGUUAAGUGGAAAAGGAUGUGGCGUUGCCCAGACAACUAGGAUGUUGGCUUAGAAGCAGCCAUCAUUUAAAGAGUGCGUAAUAGCUCACUAGUCGAGUGACACUGCGCCGAAAAUGUACCGGGGCUAAACAUAUUACCGAAGCUGUGGAUUGUCCUUUGGACAAUGGUAGGAGAGCGUUCUAAGGGCGUUGAAGCAUGAUCGUAAGGACAUGUGGAGCGCUUAGAAGUGAGAAUGCCGGUGUGAGUAGCGAAAGACGGGUGAGAAUCCCGUCCACCGAUUGACUAAGGUUUCCAGAGGAAGGCUCGUCCGCUCUGGGUUAGUCGGGUCCUAAGCUGAGGCCGACAGGCGUAGGCGAUGGAUAACAGGUUGAUAUUCCUGUACCACCUAUAAUCGUUUUAAUCGAUGGGGGGACGCAGUAGGAUAGGCGAAGCGUGCGAUUGGAUUGCACGUCUAAGCAGUAAGGCUGAGUAUUAGGCAAAUCCGGUACUCGUUAAGGCUGAGCUGUGAUGGGGAGAAGACAUUGUGUCUUCGAGUCGUUGAUUUCACACUGCCGAGAAAAGCCUCUAGAUAGAAAAUAGGUGCCCGUACCGCAAACCGACACAGGUAGUCAAGAUGAGAAUUCUAAGGUGAGCGAGCGAACUCUCGUUAAGGAACUCGGCAAAAUGACCCCGUAACUUCGGGAGAAGGGGUGCUCUUUAGGGUUAACGCCCAGAAGAGCCGCAGUGAAUAGGCCCAAGCGACUGUUUAUCAAAAACACAGGUCUCUGCUAAACCGUAAGGUGAUGUAUAGGGGCUGACGCCUGCCCGGUGCUGGAAGGUUAAGAGGAGUGGUUAGCUUCUGCGAAGCUACGAAUCGAAGCCCCAGUAAACGGCGGCCGUAACUAUAACGGUCCUAAGGUAGCGAAAUUCCUUGUCGGGUAAGUUCCGACCCGCACGAAAGGCGUAACGAUUUGGGCACUGUCUCAACGAGAGACUCGGUGAAAUCAUAGUACCUGUGAAGAUGCAGGUUACCCGCGACAGGACGGAAAGACCCCGUGGAGCUUUACUGUAGCCUGAUAUUGAAAUUCGGCACAGCUUGUACAGGAUAGGUAGGAGCCUUUGAAACGUGAGCGCUAGCUUACGUGGAGGCGCUGGUGGGAUACUACCCUAGCUGUGUUGGCUUUCUAACCCGCACCACUUAUCGUGGUGGGAGACAGUGUCAGGCGGCCAGUUUGACUGGGGCGGUCGCCUCCUAAAAGGUAACGGAGGCGCUCAAAGGUUCCCUCAGAAUGGUUGGAAAUCAUUCAUAGAGUGUAAAGGCAUAAGGGAGCUUGACUGCGAGACCUACAAGUCGAGCAGGGUCGAAAGACGGACUUAGUGAUCCGGUGGUUCCGCAUGGAAGGGCCAUCGCUCAACGGAUAAAAGCUACCCCGGGGAUAACAGGCUUAUCUCCCCCAAGAGUUCACAUCGACGGGGAGGUUUGGCACCUCGAUGUCGGCUCAUCGCAUCCUGGGGCUGUAGUCGGUCCCAAGGGUUGGGCUGUUCGCCCAUUAAAGCGGUACGCGAGCUGGGUUCAGAACGUCGUGAGACAGUUCGGUCCCUAUCCGUCGUGGGCGUAGGAAAUUUGAGAGGAGCUGUCCUUAGUACGAGAGGACCGGGAUGGACAUACCUCUGGUGUACCAGUUGUCGUGCCAACGGCAUAGCUGGGUAGCUAUGUGUGGACGGGAUAAGUGCUGAAAGCAUCUAAGCAUGAAGCCCCCCUCAAGAUGAGAUUUCCCAACUUCGGUUAUAAGAUCCCUCAAAGAUGAUGAGGUUAAUAGGUUCGAGGUGGAAGCAUGGUGACAUGUGGAGCUGACGAAUACUAAUCGAUCGAAGACUUAAUCAA